rnacentral:rRNA from 1 species
UGAGGAACAUGACCUUCGGCGGGGGAUAGCCGGCCCAACGGCCGGGUAAUACCGCGUACGACCACAUGGGGACAUCCCUGAGUGGUGAAAGCAGCAAUGCGCCGAUGGAGUGCCUCGCGGCCUAUCAGCUAGUUGGUGAGGUAACGGCUCACCAAGGCGACGACGGGUAGCUGGUCUGAGAGGAUGGCCAGCCANAUUGGGACUGAGAUACGGCCCAGACCUCGUACGGGGAGG